rnacentral:lncRNA from 1 species
AGGGUGGGAAGGGCAGGGAAAAGGAACAUAAAGGAAAAUAUGUUGGCACCUAGUAGCUGAAGGAGGGAGAGAAGGGUGUGCCAGGGAACGAGGGGGCGGGUGUGGAAAGACGAGGCCUGGGUGCUGAUGACAGCCUUCCCUGACUCCACCAGCUUGCCAAGACCCAGCCCUAGAUCCCAGAGGGGUCACAGCUGAGGUCCCCCCUCCAGAAGCCACUACCUUUCAUUUUCUUGCUCCCCAGUCUCUGUGCCCAGAAUCACUGUCUGCCAGGCUCUGGCCAACCUGUAGCCUCUCCGUGCUGAAAACGACCCGCUAAAAAAGCCAAGAGGGAAGGACCCAGCACACAGCCGUGAACCACAUAUACACGAAGAGGGCCUAAAGUGAAAAAGAUAAACUUUAAAUCAAACGGAAACUUUUUCCAGCAACUUCCACUCUUGUGAUACUGAACUGAACUGAAGCAGAAGAUUUUAAGAGUUGCCUGAAUCCUUUGGACCUGCUUAUUGGCUUAAAAAGUCUAAUUGUGAAAUUGACUUAAAAAUUCCUAAUUGUGAAAGAAGGGGUCUCUUCUUUGGCAUGGCACUCUCACUAACAAUUUUCUUGGUAAGAGGACCCAACAAACAGCAAUAGAAAUAGAAAACUAUGGAUUGCUAGGUGAGAGUAUUUUUUAACCUGCUUCAAUCUACAACUGCAAAAUGAACUGGCCCAAUUUAAUUAGAAAAAUUUCAGUUUCUGACCACUGAUCUACAUUACUGAAAGGUUACAUGUGAAAUAAAUGUGGGGUGUGUGUGUGUGUUUGUGUCUGAAAUUGAAUCAUUUUCUAACUCAUUCACUAUAAAAAAGAAAUAGACGGGAUCAUUUGAACUCUGCCUUUGCAAUUUAUCAUCUUCGUGAUCUUAGACAAUCUCUUAAUUUCUCUAAGCUUCCACUUUCUCCUCUAAAAUGGAGUUGAACUCAAAGGGCUGACCUAAAGUUUACAUAAAAUGAGAAAAUGUAAGGUACUGGGGCUGAUACAUAGACAGUAUUCAAUAAAGCUUUAUG